CCAAACCCUGCAUCAAAAGUCUCCAACAAUUCCCACUCCGAGCUCCGCGAGAGACAUGACGCAUGUGGGGGAUGUCAGACCCAAGCCCAGCACACACACAGCUUUCUCAGUCUCCAGUUGCCAUUGCGAGCUCAACACUGCGAGUACAAUGAUCUCCAAACAAAUGGAUAGAGGGUGCAAGAACCUUUUGACUUCAGGCGAGAGUGUGCAGGAAGGAAGAACAGAUGUUAGCAUCAAGAAGAAGCUACAAAAUGGUAUCAGACCAAAAACAGUGGCUGGCGCAGGUGUGAUGUCACGCGAGCAUUCUUGCACACCAAGUGUAUGUUGUUUGGCCCCUUUGCCGAUCUAUAAAGCCAUUGUUAGCAUCAGAACGUGAAUCCAGAGAUUGAGCACUCCUGCUCUGACACCACAAUAACUUAAGACUGUGCUGGUCACACGUUCCACCAUGGGAGAGCUUGUUGGAUCAGGAUGUUGCUGCAGGCCAACUCAGACGUGGGUGAGAGACGAGGAGACGAGGGCGAGGAGCCAUGCUUUCUCUUAGGUUGGCUGGAUCGGAUACCAAGAUCUUGAGGUGGGUGAGAGGGUGUGUUCCCUCGGCCAAGUUCCCCAAGUUUGACCUGACCGCUCGCAUCACAUGGGCGACGCUGCGGUGCUGUGUGUACUAGUAGUAUUUAUUGUAUUGCCUGUGACCUCUGGAGGAUGGAAGUGGUUGUGGUCCUUGCUCCUCCUCUUUGAGAGCUGCUUGAGGUUGGUCGGUGCAGACGUGAGGAUGGAAGGCGAGCUUCCACGUGGGUUCAUUGCUCGGAAGCAGAUGUCGAUGGCUGGUGAGCAAAAGCGCUAGCGAGCGGUAAGUUGACGACGCGUCAGUAAUUGUAGACAGAUAAAACAUUAAAACAUCUGUUGAAAAUAGGAUUUGAACCUUUUUGGACCAGAA